GUCGGGAAAAUGGACAAGUUGGACCUACGGAGCCGGUCAUUCUAUAUGGGGCACAUGGGUGUGGGGAAAGAUCGCACGUGGCUUCUUCGUCUGAGUCACGUGCCAUUAUUUACUUCUCACUCUUUCUCUCUGUACAGACACUUGAAAGAAUGGAUCUUCAGAAGACCGUUGUCGUCUCUCUUAUUAAAUAUGGCAUGUGUUCAUGACACUACUCAAUCGUUACCCUCCCUUAUCAUAGGCUCUCGUUUCACAUGUACUUGAACAUCCACUAUAUAUAUAUAUAUAUACAUACUAAUAUUCUCGUUUGAAUUCAGUGACUAUUCAUGUACUUUCAAUCUGACCUUUUGUUGUUAUUGUAUUAAAAAAUCCAAAACGAUAAUGAGAAAUGUUUCUUUUAAUAGCAAAUAAUGAUGAAAAAAAAUAGCAAAUAAUUCUUUUCGAGAAUGAAAAAGUUAUGAACGAAGCACACAGUGUGAAUGUCAGUGAUCUGCGUUUGCGAUGUGGGCUAAGUAACCCUGGUUAGUGAGUGGGUCAGAUAGUCAUAACUAUGAUGCGAAAGGUGAACUGUCUUCAAUUUGUUCUGUUUUUGGCCAUGUGAGUUUUGAGACAGAUGUUUCUUUCAUCUUUUAUCACACCUUUUAUUGUUGGAACUGGAAGAUGGAUUAUUUUGGAUACACAAAAUCUUGCUAACAUAGAUGGAUUGCAGGUAUUGUUUUUAAAAAAGGUGAUUGUGCAAAAGAAAAAGAAAAAACUAGUUGCUAUUGUUCAACUCUCAUAAAUUUCUCAAAAAACUUUGAACAUAUAUAAUUAUUCAAAAAACAUUGUUUAUGUUUUAUGUCCAAACUUAAGCAAGCAUAGAUUAACAUGGUAGCUGAUAGGUUUUGUAACAAAACUUUAACAACUUUUUUUUGACAUUCGUGUUCUUUUUCAUUCACUUCAGCCAAUACUCCAUGUACAUGAGACAAGAAUUGUAGAAACCCUAAUAUUUCUUUAAACAAAAUAGAAUUAAAGUCUUUUUAUGUUUAUUAUCCUUUAUACAACAUUUUUCCCUAUGGCCUUAGGAUGAAGUAUGAAAAAAGAAGUGGCAACGUCAUCCUUUAAAAUUCGAUUGCUUUUGAUGGGUUUGAUCUUGUUAAAGUAUUCGAAGAGGCUCAGGGAACAAGAGCUUCAGCCGAAAAGCACCCAUACCAUUCAAGUAAUAGUGGUAUAACCGUUUUGCUCUUAUGAAACUGAGUUGCUUAUAUAGAGCUAAUGCUCCUAAUUUGUUAUUCACAUUCACCUCCAUGUUACCUUCAAUCAUAAUAGUUUAUCAUUAAGUAGAAUCUCAUCUUGUAACCAGACUUGCAUAUGAAGAGUUUGAAGAGAAAAUGCCAUUCAAUAAGGUCCUUUCUUGCAAUGUAGACUUGCUCAAACUACAGUUAAGAAAUCACUAAUGUGCAUCAUAAAGACUACAUGGAGUCAAUGACUAACACAAGACUUAUUACAUAGGUAUAUUAAGUAUGGUUGCAACAAUCAUAACAAGGAGUUAAUGAGAUUCUAUUCUAGUUUGACAAAAGGAAGAGACCUGCCAUGGAGUUUAUAACUUUCUGAGGGAGCAGAAUAAAGAGAGGAGUGGAAAAAUAAUGCAAGAAACGAGCUUUGAUUGAUCUGUAACAAGCUUAGUGGCUGUAAAGCACAAUGAGAAGUUAGCAAAACAAGAUUUAAACUAAAGAGAGGCAUGCUUUGCAAUUGAUCAAGAUACAAUCAGAAUGACAAGAAGUUCUGAUGGAUCUCAAAAUCCACUUCAGAAAUUAGGUUUAGGUUUUGAUUAAGUGUAUAGAAGGAAUGUAUAAAAGACGAUGAUUAUGUAUAAAGAAGUGUUUUAUUGAUGAUACGAGUAGAAAACAAGUACGAAUACAAAAGAUAUCUAAGAACAAAAAAUAAUAUGUAUGUAUUGAAAAUAUAGUAUUACUCCAUAAGAAUUCAGUCCUUCUUGUCUUUGGUCUUGUUUUUACAGGCCUUGAUAUCUACGGUUGAAUCAUAAUGGCCUCGUGAUCUCUGGCGGAUAUCAUGGCCAUUAAUGAUGUUGCUUUUGAUUCUCUUUCAGCUCAGGUUUAACUAUGUAAUCUCGGCAUGGGGCGUCUUUCCAGCUCGAGAUGGGCCUGGGCCUGCUGUCUAUUUUCCGGUUUAACCGAUACUGGGUUGGGUUUUCGAACGAAGUCUAGAGCGGGGUGAAACCCGUCACCAACAAGUUCAACUAUAGUUUAUUCCAGGAGCAGUUUCAAAUCAGUAAAUCCAUGGACAAGUUGGACCUACGGAGCCGGUCAUUCUAUAUGGGGCACAUGGGUGUGGGGAAAGAUCGCACGUGGCUUCUUCGUCUGAGUCACGUGCCAUUAUUUACUUCUCACUCUUUCUCUCUGUACAGACACUUGAAAGAAUGGAUCUUCAGAAGACCGUUGUCGUCUCUCUUAUUAAAUAUGGCAUGUGUUCAUGACACUACUCAAUCGUUACCCUCCCUUAUCAUAGGCUCUCGUUUCACAUGUACUUGAACAUCCACUAUAUAUAUAUAUAUAUAUACAUACUAAUAUUCUCGUUUGAAUUCAGUGACUAUUCAUGUACUUUCAAUCUGACCUUUUGUUGUUAUUGUAUUAAAAAAUCCAAAACGAUAAUGAGAAAUGUUUCUUUUAAUAGCAAAUAAUGAUGAAAAAAAAUAGCAAAUAAUUCUUUUCGAGAAUGAAAAAGUUAUGAACGAAGCACACAGUGUGAAUGUCAGUGAUCUGCGUUUGCGAUGUGGGCUAAGUAACCCUGGUUAGUGAGUGGGUCAGAUAGUCAUAACUAUGAUGCGAAAGGUGAACUGUCUUCAAUUUGUUCUGUUUUUGGCCAUGUGAGUUUUGAGACAGAUGUUUCUUUCAUCUUUUAUCACACCUUUUAUUGUUGGAACUGGAAGAUGGAUUAUUUUGGAUACACAAAAUCUUGCUAACAUAGAUGGAUUGCAGGUAUUGUUUUUAAAAAAGGUGAUUGUGCAAAAGAAAAAGAAAAAACUAGUUGCUAUUGUUCAACUCUCAUAAAUUUCUCAAAAAACUUUGAACAUAUAUAAUUAUUCAAAAAACAUUGUUUAUGUUUUAUGUCCAAACUUAAGCAAGCAUAGAUUAACA
rnacentral:lncRNA from 1 species